UGAGACAAUGGUGGGAAAAGAGGACGCUGU
rnacentral:piRNA from 1 species